rnacentral:rRNA from 1 species
CACGUAGGCACCAAGCGUUGUCCGGAUUUAUUGGGCGUAAAGAGCUCGUAGGCGGUUCAGUAAGUCAGGUGUGAAAUCUUUGGGCUUAACCCAAAGCGUGCACUUGAUACUGCUGUGACUUGAGUUCGGUAGGGGAGUGGGGAAUUCCUAGUGUAGCGGUGAAAUGCGCAGAUAUUAGGAGGAACACCGGUGGCGAAGGCGCCACUCUGGGCCGAAACUGACGCUGAUGCGCGAAAGCCAGGGGAGCGAACGGG